rnacentral:rRNA from 1 species
GAUGAACGCUGGCGGCGUGCCUAACACAUGCAAGUCGAACGGAGUUUAUGAAGUUUUCGGACGGAAUAAACUUAGUGGCGGACGGGUGGGUAACGCGUGGGUAACCUGCCUCAAACCGGGGGAUAACAGUUGGAAACGGCUGCUAACACCGAAUAAGCAUACACUGUCCCAUGGCAGAGCGGGAAAAUAUUAAUAGGUAUGAGAUGGGCCCGCGUCUGAUUAGCUAGUUGGUAAGGUAACGGCUUACCAAGGCGACGAUCAGUAACCGGCUUGAGAGAGUGACCGGCCACAUUGGGACUGAGACACGGCCCAAACUCCUACGGGAGGCAGCAGUGGGGAAUAUUGCACAAUGGGGGAAACCCUGAUGCAGCUACGCCGCGUGAGUGAAGAAGUAUUUCGGUAUGUAAAGCUCUAUCAGCAGGGAAGAAAAUGACGGUACCUGACUAAGAAGCCCCGGCUAACUACGUGCCAGCCGCCGCCGUAAGAC